CCUACGGGAGGCAGCAGUAGGGAAUCUUCCACAAUGGGCGAAAGCCUGAUGGAGCAACGCCGCGUGGGUGAAGAAGGUUUUCGGAUCGUAAAACCCUGUUGUUAGAGAAGAAAGUGCGUGAGAGUAACUGUUCACGUUUCGACGGUAUCUAACCAGAAAGCCACGGCUAACUACGUGCCAGCAGCCGCGGUAAUUUGUAGGUGGCAAGCGUUAUCCGGAUUUAUUGGGCGUAAAGGGAACGCAGGCGGUCUUUUAAGUCUGAUGUGAAAGUCUUCGGCUUAACCGGAGUAGUGCAUUGGAAACUGGGGAACUUGAGUGCAGAAGAGGGGAGUGGAACUCCAAGUGUAGCGGUGAAAUGCGUAGAUAUAUGGAAGAACACCAGUGGCGAAAGCGGCUCUCUGGUCUGUAACUGACGCUGAGGUUCGAAAGCGUGGGUAGCAAACAGGAUUAGAUACCCUUGUAGUC
rnacentral:rRNA from 1 species